GCUGGGCAUGUUGGCACACACCUGUAAUCCCAACAACUCAGGAGGCUGGGACAGGUGCAUUGCAAGUUUGAGGCCAGCCUCAGCAACUUAGUGAGGCCCUAAGCAAUUUAGCGAGAUCCUAUCUCAA
rnacentral:sRNA from 1 species